rnacentral:rRNA from 1 species
UACAGAGGUCUCAAGCGUUGUUCGGAUUCAUUGGGCGUAAAGGGUGCGUAGGCGGCGCGGUAAGUCGGGUGUGAAAUCUCGGAGCUUAACUCCGAAACUGCAUUCGAUACUGCCGUGCUUGAGGACUGGAGAGGAGACUGGAAUUUACGGUGUAGCGGUGAAAUGCGUAGAUAUCGUAAGGAAGACCAGUGGCGAAGGCGGGUCUCUGGACAGUCCCUGACGCUGAGGCGCGAAGGCGUGGGGAGCGAACGGG